GACGAACGCUGGCGGCGUGCUUAACACAUGCAAGUCGAACGGAAAGGCCCUGCUUUGGUGGGGUGCUCGAGUGGCGAACGGGUGAGUAACACGUGAGUAACCUGCCCUUGACUUAGGGAUAACUUCAGGAAACUGGGGCUAAUACCGGAUAGGAGCUCCUGCUGCAUGGUGGGGGUGGGAAAGUUUCGGCGGUUGGGGAUGGACUCGCGGCUUAUCAGCUUGUUGGUGGGGUGGUGGCAUAGCAAGGCUUUGAAGGGUAGCAGGGCUGGGAGGGGGACCGGACCCACUAGGACUGGGAUACGGCACAGACUCCUACGGGAGGCAGGGGAGGGGAGGGGUGUACAAGGGGCUGAAGGCUGAUGUAGCAACGCCGCGUGCGGGAAGUCGGGCAGGGGGUUGGAUUCCGCUUCCGCCUGUGACGAAGCGAGAGUGACGGUACUGGGUAAAGAAGCACCGGCUAACUACGUG
rnacentral:rRNA from 1 species